UGUUUACAUGCCCAAAAAUGGGGGUAGACAUCAACAUGAAGUGAUUGGGCCCGGGGCCUUAGGCCCAGGCACUGAAUCCACGCCAGAGGGAGGUGCAGGUAGCAUGUGAGGUAUGGAAGGAAAACAUGUGUGUGCCUGAAACCCAGUGUCCAUAUCCAAAUGAAAUAAGAGGCUCAGGCAACCCCUAACUUCAAAAAUGAAAUGCGUCUCAAUUCCUCACCGCAUUCCUACGUCUCUGCCGCGUCGGCAUCGCCUUCGGCGGCGGUGGAGGUCAAACCACCAUCAAAGUUACAUCAUUGAUAUCAUCUUUCCACCCUCAAUCCCGAUACCACCUUGAUUUUCACCCAAUCCUCACAAAACUUCCAAAUCGAACCAAACAGGUCAAGAACCCUAACUUUCAGAUUUGAAAUUAAAAACGAUCCAAGACUAAAUUCAAUUAUAAACCUUAGGGUUAUGGUUGAUGUACAUCAUUUACAUCUAUUGGUAACCAAAAUAGUGGAGAAUCGAUGAAAAAGCACCAGCCUGUGAAGCGGAGAUAUGCUUCGGUGUUUAUUGCAACCGGCGAAGAAGACGAAGCUCAAGAAAAUGCCAGAGAAGGAAGAAUAUUCAGGUUGGUUUUGGUGCAACUUGAUUAAUGGAUGGUCCUACUGCAGGAUGGUGUAACUUUGUGAUGGAUGAAAAAACAAGUUUGUUAGGCUAGUUUAUGAACUUCAUGCAGUUAGCAUAUCUUUUGCUAUUAUUAGAAGUUAGGAUUUGGAAUUUGAAUUGUAAAUUACAUUGAUAUGGAAAUUUUGAGCAAGUUAUGAAGGUGUGAAACACACAAGAAAGGGGGUUUGAAA